GGGGGUUCUGGUCGAUCAAGAAUGAGUAGGGGCGACACCCCACUCUCAAACCCUAGAAAAGUUCACUAAAACUCUCAAUUGGAGGUGCAAAUCUGGUCCAAAACGAAAUUCGAGCAUAGAUUAUUGAUCCUCAUCACAAGAGGAUUACAAGUGUUAUGAUUUUGACGCGUAACAAGCUAGGUGGAAGCUUGAUGAGGGAGCGGAUCAAACAAAUCAAGAAGGAAAGGAAAAGCAUAGUUCGGAUGCGAAGUAAGUAUAGCUUACACUAGUCAUAUAGUUUAGAAUGUCAUUUUGUUGUUUUGAUUUCGAACAAGACAAAUGGAAAGUUGAGAUAUGGUGUUUCCGGCGUGUAGUCGUACGGAACAAGAUAACCAAUAAGGGUAAAAUUGAAAUUUGGACACUUGUUGACAAUAAUUAUUGGUUUUGAAAGAUACAUAUUUCGUAAGCCUUAUUAGGCCAAAAAGCGUUAAGAGGUGAAUUAUAGUUAAAACGACCGUGCAGUGUAAAUCGGAACGAGUCGUGUAGACGAGAUGGCAAUAAGCUUUAUCUCGCCAAUAUUAUCGGUCAUUUAGACCAACGGGUCAAAAGGUGAAAAUAUCACUUUUGACAAUAUCGACUAAUGGUUUGAUGAGUUGUUUGAUUUCAGAAAUAAAUAUCGAGUGGAUAUUUACAUCGCUAUUACUUAGUAGAUAUUGAGGCAAGGUACUUAAAUGGGUCAAUGUAAUGAUCCGAGCCAGGUACGCAUAAUAAGAUAACUCUCAUUUAAAUGUAAGGCUAAUGAGAGUUAAACGAAGUCUAAAAUAAGUUUUUGGUUACCUUAAUAGGUAAACCAAAUGUUACGGACGAUGGUCAUUAUAUUUGUUAUAGGUUUCUAACCAUUACCAAGAGUUUAAUAAGGGUUUUAGCCAUGGAAAUGGGUUGCAUUUGAUGGUUUGGUUCGAAUUUAAAAUGACCCUAAACAUGAUUUCCGCAGCUUUUUAUACGGAUUUCGACUAAUCUUUAAAAAAUCAUAUAAAAUCAACCGUUUAUCCGAUUUGGGUGUUCUAUACCUUUUCGGAAAGCUUAUGAAGUAAAUUUUUACUGUUUUCAAUCAUAAGAAACAAAUGUGGUUGUUAAAUAGGCCAAAAGAAUGAAUUAAACAGCUGUUCAAAACCUUGAAAGCUGUUUGAAAAAUGAAAAUAUAGUUGAUGUGCUGAUUUUAUAAAAAUCAUAUAAAAUCAUAGAAAAUUCGUUAGAAGGUGUACCUUAUAUGCUUGCGAAGGUAUUGAAGUUUUCUACGAUCCAUAUUUGAACAUGUUAAUCUAGUUCGGGCUCUGAAUGGGUCAUAAUGGUCAAUUACAACAGCUGUAUAAAAAAUCGCUGCACAUUAAUAAUGUCAUUAUUAAUCCAGAAAAAGACAUAUGAUUGCGUAUACUUGAUUUAGUCAUGCCACCGUAAGUUACGGUGGAGCUGAUAUGAUUACGAUGGUUACAUACUGAGUUACAGUGGACCCAGAAACAAAGUAUAUUUUAUUUAGUUUAAAUUCCCGGAUUCGUUUAGACACGUUUUAAACCCCGUUUGACUAAAGUAUUUCAUGUUUAUGGAAUAUAGGUACUUUUGGAUGCCGGAAGACGAUCAAGCUCAGCGAAGAACCGAACACGAUAAAGACACACGCUUCCGCACUUUGCCACGUUGUAAAUUUUAAACAACGAAUUCGAUCACAUUAUGUAGAAUAACUUAUGAUUUGUAAAACUUUUAGUAAACCCGUAUUUCUGAUGUAUAUGUAAUCGUAAUUACAUGAUAGUUUUCGUAAAAGAUUCAUUAAACCUUA
rnacentral:lncRNA from 1 species